ACGAACGCUGGCGGCGUGCCUAAUACAUGCAAGUCGGGCGGACUGAUUAAGAGCUUGCUCUUAUGACGUUAGCGGCGGACGGGUGAGUAACACGUGGGCAACCUGCCCUGUAGAUCGGGAUAACACCGAGAAAUCGGUGCUAAUACCGGGUAAUAUCUGAGAUCACAUGAUCUUAGGUUAAAAGAUGGCUCCGGCUAUCACUACAGGAUGGGCCCGCGGCGCAUUAGCUAGUUGGUAAGGUAAUGGCUUACCAAGGCGACGAUGCGUAGCCGACCUGAGAGGGUGAUCGGCCACACUGGGACUGAGACACGGCCCAGACUCCUACGGGAGGCAGCAGUAGGGAAUCUUCCGCAAUGGACGAAAGUCUGACGGAGCAACGCCGCGUGAGUGAUGAAGGGUUUCGGCCCGUAAAGCUCUGUUGUUAGGGAAGAAACAGUACCGAACGAACUAGGUCGGUACCUUGACGGUACCUAACCAGAAAGCCACGGCUAACUACGUG
rnacentral:rRNA from 1 species